GGAAGGGCAGCUUUCUCGUUUCCAGGACACUGUCCAGAGGAGUUAAACCAAUUUAGACAUUUCUUCCUCUAACGUCCUCUUGCCCUGACGGUGUGAGGAAGUGAGAGUUCAGGAGCUAGCAGAAUGCUUUAUCCAUCUGCAUGACCUUAUUCACUGAUCCGUCUGCAAUGGGUGACUCCUCUGAACAUCCCCACAGCUUUCCAAUUCUCCUGUGUGUGCAAUGGUCAUUUAGGGGAGACAGUCUGAGCUACAGCAAA
rfam:Camelus ferus unplaced genomic scaffold scaffold1675, whole genome shotgun sequence.